UACGUAGGGGGCAAGCGUUGUCCGGAAUCAUUGGGCGUAAAGAGCGUGUAGGUGGCUCGAUAAGUCCGCUGUAAAAGUCCAGGGCUCAACCCUGGAAAGCCGGUGGAAACUGUCGAGCUCGAGUCCGGAAGAGGCGAGUGGAAUUCCUGGUGUAGCGGUGAAAUGCGCAGAUAUCAGGAGGAACACCAAUGGCGAAGGCAGCUCGCUGGGACGGUACUGACACUGAGACGCGAAAGCGUGGGGAGCAAACAGG
rnacentral:rRNA from 1 species